AGUAAUAGAAAUGGGAAGGAGUCCCUACCUUUACUAGUCCUAAGGAUGAAAACAGUAUAAAAUGAACAGGAAUUUUUUUUUUUUCCUGUUCAUCCUAUACUGUUUUCAUCCUUAGGACUAUUAAAGGUAGGGACUCCUUCCCAUUUCUAUUACUC